UACGUAGGGCGCAAGCGUUGUCCGGAAUUAUUGGGCGUAAAGAGCUCGUAGGCGGCUUGUCACGUCGGGUGUGAAAGCCCGGGGCUUAACCCCGGGUCUGCAUUCGAUACGGGCUAGCUAGAGUGUGGUAGGGGAGAUCGGAAUUCCUGGUGUAGCGGUGAAAUGCGCAGAUAUCAGGAGGAACACCGGUGGCGAAGGCGACACGCUGGGCCAUACCUGACGCUAAAGCGCGACAGCAUGGGGAGCAAACGGG
rnacentral:rRNA from 1 species